CAGCCUAGCCAACAUGGCGAAAUCCCAUCUCUACUAAAAAUAUAAAAAUUAGCCAGGCAUGGUGAAGGGUGCCUGUAAUUCCAUCUAUUCGGGAGACUGAGGCAGGAGAAUCAGGCAUUAACAUCAACACAGACUUUUAAGUCUGAUAAGAAACAUUUUACAGCCUAUUCUCUACAAAGCCUACUACCUGGAGGCUGCUUCUGCAUGAUAAAACUUUGGUCUCCACAAGCUCUUAUCACAACCCAGACAUUUCUUUCUGUUGUUCCCAGAUCUUUGUUUGUUUGUCUUAUAAUAAAAAUGUAAAUACUGUAGUAAACUAUGAUAAGACGAAAUGUUGCUACUGUAAAUUUAUUCUCUUCAUCUUCCCUGGGCCUCCAUAUUAGAAUAUGCAUUUACAAGACCUUGGUCGUUUUUGGCUCCUAUUUCCCAUAACAACUCUUAUAAGAUUUCGUUUCAAAUUAACUUUCUGCCUAUUU
rnacentral:lncRNA from 1 species